UACGUAGGGUGCAAGCGUUAAUCGGAAUUACUGGGCGUAAAGCGUGCGCAGGCGGCUUUGCAAGACAGAUGUGAAAUCCCCGGGCUUAACCUGGGAACUGCAUUUGUGACUGCAUGGCUAGAGUGCGGCAGAGGGGGAUGGAAUUCCGCGUGUAGCAGUGAAAUGCGUAGAUAUCGGAAGGAACAUCAGUGGCGAAAGCGACUUCCUGGACCAAUACUGACGCUCAUGUGCGAAAGCGUGGGGAGCAAACAGG
rnacentral:rRNA from 1 species